CGCGCCGGCGAUGCAGCCUGAGGAGAAAUCAAGUCUGAACAAAGCUAGACUGAGCGACAGUCACGUCUCAGGGCAAGUGACUGGCGUUGAGUGCAGCCUCUGGAAGGAAUCCGAUCACUUACAAGCCAAACAAAGCCCGCUUUCCUCUCGGUCACUUAUUUAUUUAUUUAUUUAUUCAUGUUUUAAGACGGGGGAGAAAUGCGCACUUUCGGUUCAGCCCGGCUAACCCUCUACCUCGCCGAGGCGUACGCGUGUGGACAGAAGCCUGCGGCGGCUGCGAUUGCUAGGGGGAAGGACGUGCGGUGAAGACAUGCCCGGGGAAACGUCUGAAAACUACCAAAGGUGUCCAUGGGGAAGAACCCAUGCUAUGAGGAUUUUUCCAGAUCAAAAUCUACAUUCCCCUGAUGCUCCUGACUGUCAAGAAUGCAAGUCACUCAGCCUCUCAGAGUCUCAGUUUGCUCAUCUGUAAAACGACAUGACCCUCCAUCUCUAAUACCUCUGCCUUUGCCCUUGGGAUCCAGGUCAUCUCUGAUGCCACCUCCAACAAGAAGCUUUUCCUGAUUCCUGAUCAAAUCAGAUAAUGUAAUCACUGAAGGCAAUAGUGAUAUGACAAAUGUAAUGAUGAGGUAGUGGAAUAAAAACAAUGAA